UGGGGAAUUUUGGACAAUGGGCGAAAGCCUGAUCCAGCAAUGCCGCGUGUGUGAAGAAGGCCUUCGGGUUGUAAAGCACUUUUGUCCGGAAAGAAAUCCUUGGCUCUAAUACAGUCGGGGGAUGACGGUACCGGAAGAAUAAGCACCGGCUAACUACGUGCCAGCAGCCGCGGUAAUACGUAGGGUGCAAGCGUUAAUCGGAAUUACUGGGCGUAAAGCGUGCGCAGGCGGUUUGCUAAGACCGAUGUGAAAUCCCCGGGCUCAACCUGGGAACUGCAUUGGUGACUGGCAGGCUAGAGUAUGGCAGGAGGGGGGUAGAAUUCCACGUGUAGCAGUGAAAUGCGUAGAGAUGUGGAGGAAUACCGAUGGCGAAGGCAGCCCCCUGGGCCAAUACUGACGCUCAUGCACGAAAAGCGUGGGGAGCAAAACAGGAUUAGAUACCCUGGUAGUCCACGCCCUAAAACGAUGUCAACUAGUUGUUGGGGAUUCAUUUCCUUAGUAACGUAGCUAACGCGUGAAGUUGACCGCCUGGGGAGUACGGUCGCAAGAUUAAAACUUAAAUGAAUUG
rnacentral:rRNA from 1 species